rnacentral:rRNA from 1 species
UACAGAGGUCUCGAGCGUUGUUCGGAUUCAUUGGGCGUAAAGGGCGCGUAGCGGCGGGGCAAGUCGGGUGUGAAAUCUCAGAGCUCAACUCUGAAACUGCACUCGAUACUGCUUUGCUUGAGGACUGGAGAGGAGAUUGGAAUUCACGGUGUAGCAGUGAAAUGCGUAGAUAUCGUGAGGAAGACCAGUGGCGAAGGCGGAUCUCUGGACAGUUCCUGACGCUGAGGCGCGAAGGCCAGGGGAGCAAACGGG